GUUUCUCGAUCUCUAAAAUUCAGUAACACGAAAAUGACCUAUUUAUCAUCUCGUCUUAUUUGUGUAGAUUUUAUUAUAGUAUAUAGUUUGAAAAACAAAAUAAAGUACUUUUUGUCUCAUCUGUUUGAGAGAAUGGCCUUGGCCUUGGCCUUGGCCUUGGCCUUGGCCUUGGCCUUGGAGGGGAAGGAAUGCGCUGCCAUUGGUUGGAAAAUGAAAUUCACACCCAAAUAAAUAUAUAUCUCUCUCUCGUAUAAAACCCUCCCACACUUGCAAAAGCAAGAAACCCUAAGAUCUUCCUCCUCUCGCUCAUCUCCGACUCCAAACCGUACAAUCUCAUCUCGCCUCUCAGCUUUUCUUGCUUGCGAUCAUGGAAGGAAGUGCGACUCCGAUCGUGGAACCAGAAUCCAAGUUUGGCUCGAACGUGGAAGGAACUGAGACUCCGAUUGUGGAAGCAGAGUCCAAGUUUGGCUCGACCGUGGAAGGUAGCGAGACUCCGGCUGUGGAACCAGAGCCCAAGUAAGACUCGCCUCCUCCAUAGAUCCUUUA